rnacentral:rRNA from 1 species
GCGUUGUUCGGAAUUACUGGGCGUAAAGCGCACGUAGGCGGCCAUUCAAGUCAGAGGUGAAAGCCCGGGGCUCAACCCCGGAACUGCCUUUGAAACUAGAUGGCUUGAAUCUUGGAGAGGCGAGUGGAAUUCCGAGUGUAGAGGUGAAAUUCGUAGAUAUUCGGAAGAACACCAGUGGCGAAGGCGACUCGCUGGACAAGUAUUGACGCUGAGGUGCGAAAGCGUG